ACGGCUCAGUAACACGUAGCUAAUCUACCCUUAAGUCAGGAAUACCCUCGGGAAACUGAGGCUAACUCUGAUAGGAGAUAUGCCCUGGAAUGACUUAUCUCUUAAAUUCGUGCUUAAGGAUGAGGCUGCGGUGGAUUAGGUUGUUGGCGGGGUAAUAGCCCACCAAGCCGAAGAUCCAUAAGGGCUCUUAGCGGAGAGGCCCUGAGAGGGAAUCUGAGACACUAUUCCCAGCCCCACGGGGUGCAGCAGUUAGGAAUAAUCUACAAUGCGCGCAAGCGUGAUAGUUUGAGCCAGAGUGCUUUCCUAUUUGGAAAGCUUUUGCCAAAUCUAAAAAGUUUGGCGAAUAAGGACUGGGUAAGACGAGUGCCAGCCGCCGCGGUAAUACUCGCGGUCCAAGUCGCAGCCAUUUUUAUUGGGUCUAAAACAUCCGUAGCUUGCUUUAUAAGUUUCUUGUGAAAUUCUGUUCCUCAAGUUCAGAGCGUGCAAGAAAUACUGUAAAGCUAGAGACCGGAAGACGUAAGAAGUACGUUCGAAGUAGUGGUAAAAUAUUUUAAUCUCGAACGGACUCACAAUAGCGAAGGCAUCUUACGAGGACGGUUCUGACAGUCAGGGAUGAAGGCCAGGGGCGCAAAACGGAUUAGAUACCCGUGUAGUCCUGGCAGUAAACACUGCACACUAAACAUCAGUACCUCUUCGAGAGGUAUUGGUGCUGAAGGGAAGCCGAAGAGUGUGCUACCUGGGAAGUAUAGUCGCAAGGCCGAAACUUAAAGGAAUUGGCGGGGGAG
rnacentral:rRNA from 1 species